UAAGUAAUGAGAUGAAAGAAAAAAGAUUUCUCAACCGGAUCGGGCCGUACAAACGGUGGUACUCCGGCGAGCUCUUCUCACGAAGCAAUUUCCAUUCGCUUCCAAAGAGUUGACUUGAUGGUUUAAUUUCAGGCCGCCUGUCCUUCGAUGGAAACACGCAAGUACUCAGAUAAGGAUUUACGGAUGUGAACUUGAUUCGUCUUCCCAGAGGAAGCUAGUUUGGUGAAGUUGGAUGAUGUGGAGCGAUGAAGUUCAUCACUAGCCCACAUGGGGAAUAUGAGUAAGCUGGUUAUAAUGCAGACAGAAAAACCCAUCCCAAUAUUAGUGAGACGUUCACGUGCUAAUUCCAAGAUCUUAUCAGCACGCAAACCAGACACAGCUACCAGAUUAAAGUACUGGUGGAUAAAAUUGGUGGUGUUUUAAAAAGGUGGACACGUGGAAUUUUACUAUCUAAAGAAAAUCAUGUAUGUAAGCUUUUAACGCUUUCUGUUUCUUAGGUUUAAUAUCAUGAGCCUCUUCAAAGAUAUUAGAUUGUUAUUUUAAUUCUAUAUGCAAUAAAGUUUAACACAUUAAUCAUUUAUGAUAUAUAUUUUUAAAAUGGACAAAAGACCAUUGGCAAGCUGGCCCGGCCCGACCCAUACUAAAACAACUUUUGACCCACCCAUUUCCCCAUCUUUACUUUUCGUAAGUGGUUAUUAACUAUUUUGUUGAAGAUAAAAAGGAUGCUUUUCUUCCUAUCAAAUCCAAUGGGCCCAUAAUUUGGUAUUUGUCUGCUGUGGCCUAAAAUUCAACAUAAUGUAUGCUAAUCACCAUGAACUAACUGGCUGUGUUCAGAUCACUAAUCAUGCACCUACACAGCAUAACCAUUUUGGAACAAAAAAAAAAAAAUCGUUUUUUACAUGGUUAACCAAUUUUCCUAUGUAUAUUUUUUUUUCUUUCGUUCCAUCAUUUGGGUCUCAUACAUCGGUCAUUAUCUCAUUCUAAUGCAUAUCAAAUAUGAACAUAUUGUCAUGCUGUGUCUAGGAAAUGGGCCCAAAACUGUGUACUGUGUUGACAUAAUAAGAGACUGGUUUUAUAUGCAAUUGGUUGUUUUGAUAGUGUAAAACCUUUCUAAGAAAAACCACCUACCUACCUAAUCAGUAAUCACAAUAUCACAAUGCUCAUAAUAAUGGAGAGUCCACUAAAAAAAUUUCCAUUUAUUGUUGGUGGCAUAAGUCAUAAGAUAUGGAGAUGGGAUUUAUCAUUUAUGGUGGAGGAUGAGUUGCUCAUCUCAUCCUUUCUGUCCAAAACCCUAACCCUACCUUAAUCUCUUAGGUUUUAGUCCUCUAGUUGGCCCUACAUGUGUGCGUUUUUUUUUCGGAUGAUUUGAUUUGCUAAUUGUUAUUACUUUUGUGGCUGUGUGUUCUGUUUAGGGUUAAUUGUUAAUAGACAUCAUCGAUUUAACUAUUUAUAUUUUUAAUGGGUAUUUCAAGUAUUUGAUCAUAAGUCCAAAAAAAAAAUUGAAUUAUAUGUCGAGUGUUGGUGUGUUUUAUUUAGGGUUAUUUGCAAGAAAGCUGAGUUUUUAUGGUUUUACACUUAUUGUAAAUUUUACUAAAUUUACCCUGUAAUUUUGAUAUGAAUUCUUAAUUUGGUAUAUUUUUAAUCCUUUUUACCGGUUUCUCGGUUUCCUUAAGAUGAAACUCACAAGAAUAUCCUUAAGUUUGUAGUUCUUUUUGCAGUUUUACCUAAAGUUUAUUAUUAUUAUUAUUAUUUUAAUUUAUUUUUAUCGCCAAUUUUACCCAAUAGAUUUCAUAUAACUUGUUAAUUUCUCAUUCACCUCUUUCUCUGCUCAUGUUCACUUGGCAUUUUUUUGUUGACAUUGUAUGUAAAUAAACGCCUUACUUGUCAACCAAACAACAUUUUUGUAAUUAACGUUACUUUAAUUACAAAAAUGUGUAUAAUUAUUGCAAUUGCCAAGACGUAGCUAUCUAUGCCUACACUUGUGAAUAGUUUGUUAGAGAAAGCAUUGUAAGAUGUACACAUUUGUUUCGACUUUUGAUAUGUAUGCAUGAAUUUCAUUAAUUUAAUAUGGUUUUUGGGAGUUAUUAUUUA